UUACAGGCGUGAGCCACCGUGCCCGGCCUGUACUUCUAAAAUACUUUCACUUUUCUACCUCUAAUAGGUGUUACCAUAUGUAGAUAAGAGUGUUGUUUUGUUGUUACUGACAUUAUUGUUCUUAUUUAACAUCCUAUGAGGGAUUUACAUCAUGCACCAGGUCCUGGGAUUGCGUCUUAACUAUCUGCAAUGGUCAUUCUGCUUCAUGAGAAAGGUUCCAGCUAGCCCAAUGAGGGAAGAAAAAAACUUAAAAUGGAGUAAGAGGAAGGAAAAGGACAAUAAUAAAAAACUCAAGCAGAACAGAGCCCUCAGAAAUAAUGCCGCAUAUCUACAACCAUCUGAUCUUUGACAAACCUGAAAAAAAAAGAAAUGGGGAAACGAUUCCCUAUUUAAUAAAUGGUACUGGGAAAACUGGCUAACUGUAUGUAGAAAGCUGAAACUGGAUCCCUUCCUUACACCUUAUACAAAAAUUAAUUCAAGAUGGAUUAAAGACUUAAAUGUUAGACCUAAAACCAUAAAAACCCUAGAAGAAAACCUAGACAAUACCAUUCAGGACAUAGGCAUGGGCAAGGACUUCAUGUCUAAAACACCAAAAGCAAUGGCAAC
rnacentral:lncRNA from 1 species